GUGGGUUAAAAAUGAUCGACAUAGACUUAUAUCUCAAAGCUCUUCAAUUACGGUGGAUUUUAAAACUUAAACAAAAUUCUGGUGAUAAUUGGUCAAUCAUACCCCAAGCUUACUUAAACAAAUUUGGUAAAAACCUCUUGAUAUUUCGAAUGAAUAUUAAAAAUGUUAAUAUGUUAGACAAAAAAAUAUUUAAAUCCCUUCCCGAGUUCUAUCAGCAAUUGAUUAAAACUUGGAUUAAUGUUAAGGGAGGACAGACAAAGAUCCCACAAUCGUUUCUAGACAUAAGAAAGCAGAUUUUAUGGGGCAAUCAUAACAUACAAACAAAAGGAAAAC
rnacentral:lncRNA from 1 species